rnacentral:rRNA from 1 species
UACGUAGGGUGCAAGCGUUGUCCGGAAUUAUUGGGCGUAAAGGGCUCGUAGGCGGUCUGUCACGUCGGGAGUGAAAACUCAGGGCUUAACCCUGAGCCUGCUUCCGAUACGGGCAGACUAGAGGUAUGCAGGGGGAGAACGGAAUUCCUGGUGUAGCGGUGAAAUGCGCAGAUAUCAGGAGGAACACCCGUAGCGAAGGCGGCACUCUGGGCCGAUACUGACACUGAGGAGCGAAAGCGUGGGGAGCGAACAGG